rnacentral:ncRNA from 1 species
UUGAAACUUUAGGGGUGCCGAAAGGCUGAGAUGAUACCCUCGAACCUGAUGCAGGUAAUGCUGCCGAAGGGAAAAGUGAAUACAUACUG